CCUACGGGUGGCAGCAGUGGGGAAUAUUGCACAAUGGGGGGAACCCUGAUGCAGCGACGCCGCGUGGGUGAAGACGCACCUAGGCGUGUAAAGCUUCAUCAGCAGGGAAGAAAAUGACGGUACCUGAAUAAUAAGCCCCGGCUAACUACGUGCCAGCAGCCGCGGUAAGACGGAGGGGGCAAGCGUUCUCCGGAUUUACUUGGUGUAAAGGGGGCGGAGACGGCUAGGCAAGCCAGUAGUGAAAGCCCAGGGCUCAACCUUGGGACUGCUAUUGAAACUGGGUGGAUGGAGUGCAGGAGGGGUAGGCGGAAUUCCUGGUGUAGCGGUGAAAUGCGUAGAUAUCAGGAGGAACACCGGUGGCGAAGGCGGCCUACUGGACUGCAACUGACGUUGAGGAUCGAAAGCGUGGGGAGCAAACAGGAUUAGAUACCCUGGUAGUC
rnacentral:rRNA from 1 species